rnacentral:lncRNA from 1 species
CAAAGCUGUAAUAAGUUUUCACCUUUAUCAGUUCUCAUAGCUGCUACAGAAAAUCCUCCACCUUCCUCAUCCCUCUCUUCUUCCUUAACCUAAAACCCUUGGUUUCGUAAUACUCAAUCCUCACUUCAACCCCAUCAUGGACUUCGAGGUCAACCACCUCUUCAGGAUCAAGAUCAGGAUCAUCCUCAGUCUCUCCCAAGUACACGAAACCGUUCUUCAUAUCAUCUGGUGAGAAUCUGAAUCAGAUCAAGAUUUGGAUAUGUUGUGAGAAGAAAUGGAGAUGUUGCUUCAAGCUGAAAAAAUUGGAGUCCACGUAAAUUUUAGACCAAACAAAAACUGUAAUGUAAUAUUAGUUCCUGUCAUUAGAUUUUAAGAAUUCUUAAAUUUGAAGUGACUCUCUAACUUAACUUUGUUUGAUGGAUAAGGUGAUAAUACAGAGAUAGAUGAACCAAGAAAAAUGGAAGAAAAUCCAGCCACUCGACACAAACAUAACACCACUUUUAAUGAGCAGAUAGGGAUGGUGUAAUUGGAUUGAAAUUAAAAUUAAAUAUAUCACACUACCUUUUGUAAGUUCCUUUGAACUUUUGAUGAUUGUUUGUUGAAAAUAUUUUCCACUUCUUUUAAUCUAUUAAAUAAAUUUCAAGCUUAAACCCCACUACUGUAAAUUGAAAAGCAAAAAUAAACCCCACUUCCCCAACACUUUCCCUUUUGGAAUUCACCCUCGUAUACAUCCCCUUACUCUAAAGUUGAACCCAACAUCCCCAACUUGUGCUCUUCACUCUCUUAGGGUUCAACCCAAUGGACCACACCACAGGGUGAGUAGAAGAGGAGGAAGAAGGAGGCGAUGAUGAAAAUUUGGCGGGGAACAAUCGAGUGAAGAGCAACAUUGCCAGAUAAGGGAAAUCAAUAGUGCUGUUGAGCAAGCGAUAACGGAGAAGAAAUCCAAAGGGCUAGGGUUUGACAAGAGAAAGUAGAGAAAAGGAAGGGGGAGGAACACGAGGAAAUGGAAGCAAGGGAGAAGCUUGGAAGUUAGUCCAUUGAAUCGAGCCUCCUAGUGCAUCUUCGCGAAGGAACCAUGAAACUCUAUUCGCAUUUCUCUCCAUCCUCUCGAACCCUUGCUUCGAGAGUUUUCAAUUUGGAGGUGAAAUUCUCAACUAGGGAAAUAUUUGUGGUUCAUAAUUAACUGUACUGAAAUGGUAUAAAAUUCAAUUUCUUUUAACUAAACUAUGAAAUAGUUUAAUUAAUUUUUAGUCAAAACCAAUUUAGUUUUUUUAAGUGUAAUAUAGUAUGAUUAACCCUAGUUUUAGUACAGUUUGUUGAAUUAUGCCCAGUUAUAGAAGUUGCUAAUGCAACUUCAUCAUCUCAUAGUUUUACACGAGUGUACGAGAUGCAACAUUUUAGUCAUUGCACCGAGCAUGUGUAUAGUUCAUCAAACC